rnacentral:misc_RNA from 1 species
UUUAAUAAUUGAUUUUAAUAUUGAUUUUGCCCGGCGCCAUCUAUUAAUCACUUACCUUACUAGCUCAGUUAUAAAGUGAAUUCUGCAUGAGAUCUCCUAUCUGUGGAGGUGUGAGAAAAGAUUUCUGAAAUAUCAACUAAACAAACGACACAAAAAUACAGCUAUAUGAAUGUAUAUGAAAUGGUUGAUAAAUAACAAAAGACUGUCGAAUAUUGUACACGAAUUUGGAAAUAUAUUGAAAAUAAAGGCUUUGUUAUGCAACAUCAAAAAUACAAGGUUAUCUAGUCGAAAGUCUGAAGGAAGAAAUACGAUGCAAUGAAUUUAACUAUAUAAAAAAAUAAAAGUAUUUGACAAAAAUUAAGUCGAAGAUAACCCAAAAUUAUCUUGAAUAUUCAAAAUUUGUUAUACUAAAGCUAGAAAAUGAAAAAACAUUGACUUUCGAUCAUGAUCAAUUAAAAAUAUAAACUGUUCAGUACAACCUUUCACGAUGUAAUAUGAAGAUACACCAAACUGCUAUGAAGUCUCUUCGGAUCCAAGAAGAAACCAACUGCUUCUCUUUCACUGGAACAAUGUUCUAAACAUGGUAGAUACCCGCAUCGGAAUACUUUUUCACUUUUCUUAUAAAGUUGAGGGUCAUUUUUGAAAAUUUUUUCUUCACCAUGAAGAUUAUUUAUACAGAUUAAUGUCUAUUUCAACAUAAUUUCACAAAUCUACCCAUGCAGCUAAAUGAUGCAAGACGUAUCACCUUAACGAAGUUCCUUUCGAAGUGACUUUUGGAAACAUGGAACCUUUUGAUGAUUCUUACGAACAAAUAAGGCUAUUGUAUGAUACAAAUAGAAGUAAUUCUCUGGUAAAACUCAAAAUUCAAAUUAUUAUAUAUUCUAUUUACUAAUUUCUAAUUUAUAUGUCAUUGAAAUAUCAUCUUUGAUAUAGGAUUACCUAUUUUGAUUUCUUAUGUAAUUCUACCUUUAUACACUUAAAUAAAACCAUCUUAUAACUAUUUAAUUAUUACUAAGUGCUCUCCUAACUUUAGUUCUUUUUAUAAUUCUCAUUCUUCUCAACCUUCCAAUCAACGAUACCCCUCAAAAGUGGCAAUAAUAAAAAAUUAUCCAUAUACUUUGGGCUUUAUUAAAAUUACUAAAUUAUCUAUUAUUUUUAACUAUUCUAUGGUUUGAGUAUCUUAAAAAAUCAUAAUAACUAUUUAAAAUCACGACAAUACAUACAUACAAACAUUCAUUUUUAUUUAUAUAGAUGUAAAAUAUUUAAAUGGCUAUUAAAAAAUAACGGUUAAAGAUAAAAAAGUGAAAAUUUAGGAUUGUAUGUAUAUUUUGGUUCUACAUCGUAUAAAAUUAAGAAAAAAGAGUUUGUUCAAAAAAAUUUUAAAAAAUUUCGGGGGGGCAAGCCCCCUUCUCACUUAGGUAGAUCGUACCACUUCAGAAACCAUCCCGGGUUGAUGCACAACAACUUUGAUUAAGGUCAUUUUACGAUCAAAUGCAUAGUUUGUGAGUCUAUAGGGAACAUACAUACAUACAAACAUUCAUUUUUAUUUAUAUAGAUGUAAAAUAUUUAAAUGGCUAUUAAAAAAUAACGGUUAAAGAUAAAAAAGUGAAAAUUUAGGAUUGUAUGUAUAUUUUGGUUCUACAUCGUAUAAAAUUAAGAAAAAAGAGUUUGUUCAAAAAAAUUUUAAAAAAUUUCGGGGGGGCAAGCCCCCUUCUCACUUAGGUAGAUCGUACCACUUCAGAAACCAUCCCGGGUUGAUGCACAACAACUUUGAUUAAGGUCAUUUUACGAUCAAAUGCAUAGUUUGUGAGUCUAUAGGGAACAUACAUACAUACAAACAUUCAUUUUUAUUUAUAUAGAUGUAAAAUAUUUAAAUGGCUAUUAAAAAAUAACGGUUAAAGAUAAAAAAGUGAAAAUUUAGGAUUGUAUGUAUAUUUUGGUUCUACAUCGUAUAAAAUUAAGAAAAAAGAGUUUGUUCAAAAAAAUUUUAAAAAAUUUCGGGGGGGCAAGCCCCCUUCUCACUUAGGUAGAUCGUACCACUUCAGAAACCAUCCCGGGUUGAUGCACAACAACUUUGAUUAAGGUCAUUUUACGAUCAAAUGCAUAGUUUGUGAGUCUAUAGGGAACAUACUAUUAUAUAUUUCGUGGGGCCAAUUAUUAUAGAAGUUAUUUUAUUUUAUUUAUUUUUAUUAUUAAUUAUUUUAUUUAAUUUUAUUUAAUUAUUUUAUUUUUAUUAUAGAAUUAUUUUUAUUUAUUGAUUUUAAUUUAAUUAUAGAAUUUUUUAAAUAUAUACUGAUUUAAUAAUUUUUGAUUUUAAUAUUGAUUUUGCCCGGCGCCAUCUAUUAAUCACUUACCUUACUAGCUCAGUUAUAAAGUGAAUUCUGCAUGAGAUCUCCUAUCUGUGGAGGUGUGAGAAAAGAUUUCUGAAAUAUCAACUAAACAAACGACACAAAAAUACAGCUAUAUGAAAUGGUUGAUAAAUAACAAAAGACUGUCGAAUAUUGUACACGAAUUUGGAAAUAUAUUGAAAAUAAAGGCUUUGUUAUGCAACAUCAAAAAUACAAGGUUAUCUAGUCGAAAGUCUGAAGGAAGAAAUACGAUGCAAUGAAUUUAACUAUAUAAAAAAAUAAAAGUAUUUGACAAAAAUUAAGUCGAAGAUAACCCAAAAUUAUCUUGAAUAUUCAAAAUUUGUUAUACUAAAGCUAGAAAAUGAAAAAACAUUGACUUUCGAUCAUGAUCAAUUAAAAAUAUAAACUGUUCAGUACAACCUUUCACGAUGUAAUAUGAAGAUACACCAAACUGCUAUGAAGUCUCUUCGGAUCCAAGAAGAAACCAACUGCUUCUCUUUCACUGGAACAAUGUUCUAAACAUGGUAGAUACCCGCAUCGGAAUACUUUUUCACUUUUCUUAUAAAGUUGAGGGUCAUUUUUGAAAAUUUUUUCUUCACCAUGAAGAUUAUUUAUACAGAUUAAUGUCUAUUUCAACAUAAUUUCACAAAUCUACCCAUGCAGCUAAAUGAUGCAAGACGUAUCACCUUAACGAAGUUCCUUUCGAAGUGACUUUUGGAAACAUGGAACCUUUUGAUGAUUCUUACGAACAAAUAAGGCUAUUGUAUGAUACAAAUAGAAGUAAUUCUCUGGUGUGAAAAUUCGUCUUUUGAAAGUAUAAGGAUAUCGUCUAUAUAAUGAAGAAUAAAAUCAUCAUAUUUAUCUAAAAUAUUAUGAA